AGAGUUUGAUCAUGGCUCAGAAUCAACGCUGGCGGCGUGCCUCAGACAUGCAAGUCGAACGAUUAAAGCUCCCUUCGGGGAGUGCAUAAAGUGGCGCACGGGUGAGUGACACGUAAGUAAUCUACCUUCGAGUGGGAAUAACAGUCGGAAACGACUGCUAAUACCGCAUAACGCAGCGGCAUCGCAAGAUGACAGUUGUUAAAGGAGCAAUCCGCUUGAAGAGGAGCUUGCGGCAGAUUAGCUAGUUGGUAAGGUAAUGGCUUACCAAGGCUACGAUCUGUAUCCGGUNUAAGAGGACGGUCGGACACACUGACACUGAAUAACGGGUCAGACUCCUACGGGAGGCAGCAGUCGGGAAUUUUGGGCAAUGGGGGAAACCCUGACCCAGCAACGCCGCGUGAAGGAUGAAGUAUUUCGGUAUGUAAACUUCGAAAGAAUGGGCCAGA
rnacentral:rRNA from 1 species